AGUGAACGCUGGCGGUAGGCCUAACACAUGCAAGUCGAACGGCAGCACAGUAAGAGCUUGCUCUUACGGGUGGCGAGUGGCGGACGGGUGAGGAAUACAUCGGAAUCUACUUUUUCGUGGGGGAUAACGUAGGGAAACUUACGCUAAUACCGCAUACGACCUACGGGUGAAAGCAGGGGAUCUUCGGACCUUGCGCGAUUGGAUGAGCCGAUGUCGGAUUAGCUAGUUGGCGGGGUAAAGGCCCACCAAGGCGACGAUCCGUAGCUGGUCUGAGAGGAUGAUCAGCCACACUGGAACUGAGACACGGACCAGACUCCUACGGGAGGCAGCAGUGGGGAAUAUUGGACAAUGGGCGCAAGCCUGAUCCAGCCAUACCGCGUGGGUGAAGAAGGCCUUCGGGUUGUAAAGCCCUUUUGUUGGGAAAGAAAAGCAGCAGGUUAAUACCCCGCUGUUCUGACGGUACCCAAAGAAUAAGCACCGGCUAACUUCGUG
rnacentral:rRNA from 1 species